CACAAAAAGAACCCCUACCAAACUAUCCAAUGAGGGCGGGGGGAAAUAACCACAAUAUGAUAAGAAUAAAGUCAUUCACAGCCAUGCUGACUUGGGACUCCACAAUGGUAUUGGAGGUCAGAGAUGAAUGUACUCAGUGCUCCGUCUGCUCUGAGGCAUGUCAUCUUCCCAAGCACUGGUAAGUAUUGCAUUCCAAAGGCAGAAGAAAGAAAGAUUCUCAGCUAUCAGGACAGCAUUUCCAUCAAGCAUUCCGAAGGCAAAAGAGAGAUUCUCAGCUAUCAGGACAGCAUUCUCAUCAUUCAAGGUUUUUUCCCUUGAAUUCCCUUGCUAUUCAUCUUUUAAUUCAGAUAAAAAUUAACAUAAUAGUGCUACCAGCCACUGAGAUUCAGUGUUAGAAAGUACAAUACCUACCAGUUUGCUUCUGCACUAGCAUUACCAUCACUGUAUUUGGAGCAUUUAUGUUUCUCCCUUCUUCUGCUCAUUCUGCAUACAUCUCAUUCCUUAAUAGCUGUAGCCCAGUUCAAAAGUUGCUGACUACUCAUGAUAUUUUAGUCAGUCCUAAUGUAGGUCCUUCUACAUGUGAAAAGCUUAAAGAUCUGCCAAAAAUUAAAUAAAUCCUAGAUCUUCAGCAGGGUAUACUGACUCACCACAGCUCUCAAGACAUGUAUAUUGCAGAGAAAUGUUCAUAGUUUAUUGGAAAUUAAGCACAGAGCUUUAAUUAUAACAGGAAAUAUAUUUAAAGAUGCCAUCAACUUGCGUGCAUACAAGCUUAUAAAUAUGGAACACUGUCUCAGGGAGCUUUUCAAGAUACCUCAUCAGCUCUUAGAAAAUGUGCAGGAAUAUUAAUUAGUCCUCAUCUAUUUCCUGGUAAUGAACAUUCUUUACAUAGGGCUCAUUUACUUUUCAUUAUCACAGUUUCGAAUGGUGUUAUCCUAUGAUAUACUGUUUUAUAGUAUAUCAUAGACACACACAUCCCUGUUUAUCAGUGUUAUCCUAUGAAAUCCUAUGAAAUAACACCUAAUGGUGUUAUCCUAUGAAAUUCACUGCAGGACUCCUAUGCCUCGGUUGUUUGGGAAGGGGGUCAAUAAGUUCUGCAUUUCUAGCCCAAGGGGAUAAUGGAUAUG